rnacentral:rRNA from 1 species
GACGAACCGUACAAACGUUAUUCGGAAUCACUGGGCUUAAAGGGUGCGUAGGCGGCGCGGAAAGUAGGGUGUGAAAUCCCUCGGCUCAACCGAGGAAUUGCGCCCUAAACUACCGUGCUCGAGGGAGAUAGAGGUGAGCGGAACUUAGGGUGGAGCGGUGAAAUGCGUUGAUAUCCUAAGGAACACCGGUGGCGAAAGCGGCUCACUGGAUCUCUUCCGACGCUGAGGCACGAAAGCGUGGGUAGCAAACAGG